rnacentral:rRNA from 1 species
AUGCAGGUCUCCUCCUGCCAUGCCCUUGCAGGAAGCUUGUGUCGCCGCAAGAAGUUCAAAUGCCAUAGCAGUGGCCGGACAGAUUUGAUACAUGGUGCUCCCUCCCACAAAGUGGCUGUUGCUAGACGAGGAAUCAAACUCGCCUCCGCUGCUACCAACCCCACCACUGUUGGAGAGGAGAGGAGGAAUGCAAGCAUGAUUGAGCUGGGAUACCCGAGCCAAGAUUCUGAGGUCGAGGAAGCCGGUCUGGCGGAGCACGGCGUUGCAGACGCGGACUCCUCUGCCUUCUUGGCUUCAUGCUCCGUGUUCUCACCGGCCGCCUGGCCCGGUUGCAGAAAGAAUUAUGCCCAGCAAGUG